UAGGGAAUCUUCGGCAAUGGGGGGAACCCUGACCGAGCAACGCCGCGUGAGUGAAGAAGGUUUUCGGAUCGUAAAGCUCUGUUGUUAAGGAAGAACGAGUGUGAGAAUGGAAAGUUCAUGCUGUGACGGUACCUAACCAGAAAGGGACGGCUAACUACGUGCCAGCAGCCGCGGUAAUACGUAGGUCCCGAGCGUUGUCCGGAUUUAUUGGGCGUAAAGCGAGCGCAGGCGGUUAGAAAAGUCUGAAGUGAAAGGCAGUGGCUCAACCAUUGUAGGCUUUGGAAACUGUUUAACUUGAGUGCAGAAGGGGAGAGUGGAAUUCCAUGUGUAGCGGUGAAAUGCGUAGAUAUAUGGAGGAACACCGGUGGCGAAAGCGGCUCUCUGGUCUGUAACUGACGCUGAGGCUCGAAAGCGUGGGGAGCGAACAGG
rnacentral:rRNA from 1 species